CCGAUUCCAGCACGAUCACCGAAGUUAAGCAACAGCGAGCCUGGUUAGUACUUAGAUGGAUGACCGCUUCGGAAUACCAGGUGGUGUAA